CGGACGGGUGAGUAAUGUCGGGGAAACUGCCCGAUGGGAGGGGAUAACUACUGGAACGGUAGCUAAUACCGCAUAACGUCGCAAGACCAAAGAGGGGGACCUUCGGGCCUCUUGCCAUCGGAUGUGCCCAGAUGGGAUUAGCUAGUAGGUGGGGUAACGGCUCACCUAGGCGACGAUCCCUAGCUGGUCUGAGAGGAUGACCAGCCGCACUGGAACUGAGACACGGUCCAG
rnacentral:rRNA from 1 species